rnacentral:tRNA from 1 species
GGAGAGGUGGCAGAGUGGUCGAAUGCACCGGUUUGCUAAAUCGGCAUCGCGGGUAAACUGCGAUCGGGGGUUCGAAUCCCCCCCUCUCCG